rnacentral:rRNA from 1 species
AUUGAACGCUGGCGGCAUGCUUUACACAUGCAAGUCGAACGGCAGCGCGGGCUUCGGCCUGGCGGCGAGUGGCGAACGGGUGAGUAAUGCAUCGGAACGUGCCCAGUAGUGGGGGAUAGCCCGGCGAAAGCCGGAUUAAUGCCGCAUACGACCUGAGGGUGAAAGCGGGGGACCGAAAGGCCUCGCGCUAUUGGAGCGGCCGAUGUCGGAUUAGCUAGUUGGUGGGGUAAAGGCUUACCAAGGCGACGAUCCGUAGCUGGUCUGAGAGGACGACCAGCCACACUGGGACUGAGACACGGCCCAGACUCCUACGGGAGGCAGCAGUGGGGAAUUUUGGACAAUGGGGGCAACCCUGAUCCAGCCAUGCCGCGUGCGGGAAGAAGGCCUUCGGGUUGUAAACCGCUUUUGUUUGGGAAGAAAUCCUCUGGGCUAAUACCCCGGGGGGAUGACGGUACCGGAAGAAUAAGCACCGGCUAACUACGUG